rnacentral:rRNA from 1 species
GUUGAUAGGCCGGGUGUGUAAGCGCAGCGAUGCGUUGAGCUAACCGGUACUAAUGACCCGUGAGGCUUAACCUUACAACGCCAGAGGCGUUU